UCUUAGUGGCGGACGGGUGAGUAACGCGUGGGUAACCUGCCUUAUACAGGGGGAUAACACUUAGAAAUAGGUGCUAAUACCGCAUAAGCGCACGGGGCUGCAUGGCCCAGUGUGAAAAACUCCGGUGGUAUAAGAUGGACCCGCGUCUGAUUAGCUUGUUGGCGGGGUAACGCCCACCAAGGCGACGAUCAGUAGCCGGCCUGAGAGGGUGGACGGCCACAUUGGGACUGAGACACGGCCCAAACUCCUACGGGAGGCAGCAG
rnacentral:rRNA from 1 species